rnacentral:rRNA from 1 species
CUCGUAGGCGGCUCCGUAAGUCAGAGGUGAAAUAUCACGGCUCAACCGUGAAAACGCCUUUGAAACUACAGAGCUUGAGGCCGGGAGAGGAAAGUGGAAUUCCUGGAGUAGCGGUGAAAUGCGUAGAUAUCAGGAGGAACACCAGUGGCGAAGGCGACUUUCUGGACCGGUUCUGACGCUGAGGAGCGAAAGCUAGGGGAGCAAACAGGAUUAGAUACCCUGGUAGUUC